rnacentral:lncRNA from 1 species
ACGGUUUUUCUUGAUACUAAGUCUGCACCUAUCAUUUUUUUAUUACAUUACAUUCAACUUUAUCAACCGAAUUAAUUCAACAUUGUGAAAUGGGAUUUUUGUUAUUUUCACAAAGGACGUAACGAAAUGAAACAUAUAGUAGCUUCUCAGAAGUGAUUCGUUCAUUAAUUCAUUGAUAAAUUAAAAGAGAUAAAUUAGUAGGUAGGUAGGUAGGUAGCUAGCCAGUAGCGAUGUGAACCCCGAUGGCGAUGAGAAAGAUGGUAAUGAGUCCGAAGUAGAUGACGGUGUGAACCAGAAUUGAAGCCCCACUCGUCUGCAUAUUCCCGAAAUCAACAACUCUAUUUCUACCGGGUAACUGGAACAGCAGUCCUGGCGUUAGCACCACGAACAACACCACAGCGAUCAGCACCGGCCCCCAGUCCGCCAUUUAUUAUUUAAUUAUUCGAUAUAUAUGUAGUAUAUGAAAAGCUCGAUCAGGGAUGGAUAUAUGAAGGAGAUGAUCAGAGAAGAUAACUACUCUACUUAUUGUCUAUUGAGAGAGACAGAGAGAGUACAUCUGGACUUGAAGAGGGUAAAUAAGGUGGUGACCGAUCCAGAUGUGUGUUUGGGGAUUAAUUUUUUGUUGUUCUACGUACGGCUAUGAUGUCCUUGGGAAGGGAGGACUUUAAUUGGAUUGUUUUCUUCUUUUGUUUUUCGAGUAUUGAUUAAUGGGCUCCUCCUCCUGCUGCUGCUAUUUUGGCCCUGUAUGUAUGAGGGUGAGGAGAUGGAUGACUUAUUAAAUGCAAUAUUUAUCCUUAUUUACUACACACCAACCCAGUAUGCAAGUGAUGG